rnacentral:rRNA from 1 species
AUUGAACGCUGGCGGCAUGCCUUACACAUGCAAGUCGAACGGCAGCACGGGUGCUUGCACCUGGUGGCGAGUGGCGAACGGGUGAGUAAUACAUCGGAACAUGUCCUGUAGUGGGGGAUAGCCCGGCGAAAGCCGGAUUAAUACCGCAUACGAUCUACGGAUGAAAGCGGGGGACCUUCGGGCCUCGCGCUAUAGGGUUGGCCGAUGGCUGAUUAGCUCGUUGGUGGGGUAAAGGCCUACCAAGGCGACGAGCAGUAGCUGGUCUGAGAGGACGACCAGCCACACGGGGACUGAGACACGGCCCAGACUCCUGAGGGAGGCAGCAGUGGGGAAUUUUGGACAAUGGGCGAAAGCCUGAUCCAGCAAUGCCGCGUGUGUGAAGAAGGCCUUCGGGUUGUAAAGCACUUUUGUCCGGAAAGAAAUCCUUGGCCCUAAUACGGUCGGGGGAUGACGGUACCGGAAGAAUAAGCACCGGCUAACUACGUG